CGGCGCUGCUGGUGGAGGACCCCAGCGCGUUCUACCAGGCCGCGCGGGCCAAGUUCGACUCCUCCGCCACCGAC
rnacentral:tRNA from 1 species